UACAGAGGGGGCAAGCGUUAUUCGGAAUUAUUGGGCGUAAAGAGCUCGUAGGCGGCCUGUUACGUCUGCUGUGAAAUCCCGGGGCUUAACCCCGGGCGUGCAGUGGAUACGGGCAGGCUGGAGGCAGGCAGGGGAGAACGGAAUUCCCGGUGUAGCGGUGAAAUGCGCAGAUAUCGGGAGGAACACCGGUGGCGAAGGCGGUUCUCUGGGCCUGUACUGACGCUGAGGAGCGAAAGCGUGGGGAGCGAACAGG
rnacentral:rRNA from 1 species